AUUGAACGCUGGCGGCAGGCCUAACACAUGCAAGUCGAACGAGUGGCGGACUGGUGAGUAAUGGCUGGGCAACUGCCUGAUGGAGGGGGAUAACUACUGGAAACGGUAGCUAAUACCGCAUACCAUCGGAUGUGCCCAGGUGGGAUUAGCUAGUGGGGGGGGUAACGGCUCACCUAGGCGACGAUCCCUAGCAGGUCUGAGAGGAUGAACAGCCACACUGGAACGGAGCCACGGGCCAGACUCCUACGGGAGGCAGCAGUGGGGAAUAUUGCACAAUGGGCGCAAGCCUGAUGCAGCCAUGCCGCGUGUAUGAAGAAGGCCUUCGGGUUGUAAAGUACUUUCAGCGGGGAGGCGUUACCCGCCGAAGAAGCACCGGCUAACUCCGUGCCAGCAGCCGCGGUAAUAC
rnacentral:rRNA from 1 species